GGGGAUUUAGCUCAGCGGCAUAAGCGCCUGCCUUGCAAGCAGGUAGGCAUGAGUUCGAUCCCCG
rnacentral:tRNA from 1 species